AUGGACUGUGAAGUAGAUGUCAGGUUGCGACAAUGUCUGGUAAUGGAGUUCCUGUUCAAGAUCGGCGAUGGCUCUGCCACAUCGAUUCACAGGUAGUUGCUCCCUGUUCAUGGGGAGGACACAGUGGAUCACAGCAGUAUCCGGUGGUGGUUGCAGAGGUUCAAAGAAGUCUAUUUGCAGUUGCUCUUAAACCUACACAAACCUGGACAAAUAAUCUGCUAUCCAAGUCUCAUGGAGACAAUCUUGGGAGUCUUAGAAUACAGAGGCCCGCUAUCUAUGUAAUCAGAAAGACUGGGGUCAGACAAUGAUAUCAGACAGCUCCGAACAACAACGUCUAAAAACAGUCAUGAGCAAAAUGUGGACGCGGUGGCCGAACGGUGGCUGACAAAUACCUGCUGUACGAUCCAUAGAGUUUCAGUGUAUGUGUAGAGAAGAGCCUGUGCUAUUCUUUGCUGGUGUUGACUUCCUAAAAGCAAGACAUGUUCAUAUUUUCUGGUAGUUACUAAACCAACCCUGUUGUAAAUGUAUC